rnacentral:rRNA from 1 species
GACGAACGCUGGCGGCGUGCUUAACACAUGCAAGUCGAACGGAAAGGCCCUGCUUUUGUGGGGUGCUCGAGUGGCGAACGGGUGAGUAACACGUGAGUAACCUGCCCUUGACUUUGGGAUAACUUCAGGAAACUGGGGCUAAUACCGGAUAGGAGCUCCUGCUGCAUGGUGGGGGUUGGAAAGUUUCGGCGGUUGGGGAUGGACUCGCGGCUUAUCAGCUUGUUGGUGGGGUAGUGGCUUACCAAGGCUUUGACGGGUAGCCGGCCUGAGAGGGUGACCGGCCACAUUGGGACUGCGAUACGGCCCAGACUCCUACGGGAGGCGGCAGUGGGGAAUAUUGCACAAUGGGCGGAAGCCUGAUGCAGCAACGCCGCGUGCGGGAUGACGGCCUUCGGGUUGUAAACCGCUUUCGCCUGUGACGAAGCGUGAGUGACGGUAAUGGGUAAAGAAGCACCGGCUAACUACGUG